rnacentral:rRNA from 1 species
CCUACGGGUGGCUGCAGUGAGGAAUAUUGGUCAAUGGGCGCGAGCCUGAACCAGCCAAGUAGCGUGAAGGAUGACUGCCCUACGGGUUUUAAACUUCUUUUCUCAGGGACGAAGCAAGUGACGUUACCUGAGGAAUAAGCCACGGCUAACUACGGGCCAGCAGCCGCGGUAAUACGUAGGUGGCAAGCGUUAUCCGGAUUUACUGGGGGUAAAGGGCGUGUAGGGGGGGAAGCAAGUCAGAUGUGAAAACCACGGGCUCAACCUGUGGCCUGCAUUUGAAACUGUGUUGCUUGAGUACUGGAGGGGUAGACGGAAUUGCUGGUGUAGCGGUGAAAUGCGUAGAUAUUAGGAGGAACACCAGGGGCGAAGGCGGUCUGCUGGACAGCAACUGACGCUGAGGCGCGAAAGCGUGGGGAGCAAACAGGAUUAGAUACCCGGGUAGUC